ACACGUAGGGGGCGAGCGUUGUUCGGAAUCAUUGGGCGUAAAGGGCGUGCAGGCGGUCCUGCAAGUCCGGCGUGAAAGACCCCGGCCCAACCGGGGGGACGCGCUGGAAACUGCGGGGCUUGAGUACAGGAGGGGAUGCCGGAAUUCCAGGUGUAGGGGUGAAAUCUGUAGAUAUCUGGAAGAACACCAAUGGCGAAGGCAGGCAUCUGGCCAUGUACUGACGCUGAGACGCGACGGUGCGGGGAGCAAACAGGUUUAGAUACCCUGGUAGUCCGCACAGUAAACGAUGUGCACCAGGUGGCGGGGGGUCGACCCUCGGUACCGUAGCUAACGCAUUAAGUGCACCGCCUGGGGAGUAUGCUCGCAAGGGUGAAACUCAAAUGAAUUGACGGGG
rnacentral:rRNA from 1 species